GUGGGUAAGGGUAAAACCGAAAUCCCACUUUAUGACCGAAUUAAUCUAAACUCAGAGAGAUAAGGUAAUGACACAGAGGUUGUACUCACUUUGACGAUGAUUAACCAUCAUUGAGGAGAACCAAAGUAACUUUUGGGUGUUAGGUACAAGGUAAAAAAAAUCUGAGCUUGAAGUUGUGAGUAAUCGCAAAUCUCACAUCCC
rnacentral:ncRNA from 1 species